rnacentral:rRNA from 1 species
AGACUUGCUCCCUGAUGUUAGCGGCGGACGGGUGAGUAACACGUGGGUAACCUGCCUGUAAGACUGGGAUAACUCCGGGAAACCGGGGCUAAUACCGGAUGGUUGUUUGAACCGCAUGGUUCAGACAUAAAAGGUGGCUUCGGCUACCACUUACAGAUGGACCCGCGGCGCAUUAGCUAGUUGGUGAGGUAACGGCUCACCAAGGCAACGAUGCGUAGCCGACCUGAGAGGGUGAUCGGCCACACUGGGACUGAGACACGGCCCAGACUCCUACGGGAGGCAGCAGUAGGGAAUCUUCCGCAAUGGACGAAAGUCUGACGGAGCAACGCCGCGUGAGUGAUGAAGGUUUUCGGAUCGUAAAGCUCUGUUGUUAGGGAAGAACAAGUGCCGUUCAAAUAGGGCGGCACCUUGACGGUACCUAACCAGAAAGCCACGGCUAACUACGUGCCAGCAGCCGCGGUAAUACGUAGGUGGCAAGCGUUGUCCGGAAUUAUUGGGCGUAAAGGGCUCGCAGGCGGUUUCUUAAGUCUGAUGUGAAAGCCCCCGGCUCAACCGGGGAGGGUCAUUGGAAACUGGGGAACUUGAGUGCAGAAGAGGAGAGUGGAAUUUCCACGUGUAGCGGUGAAAUGCGUAGAGAUGUGGAGGAACACCAGUGGCGAAGGCGACUCUCUGGUCUGUAACUGACGCUGAGGAGCGAAAGCGUGGGGAGCGAACAGGAUUAGAUACCCUGGUAGUCCACGCCGUAAACGAUGAGUGCUAAGUGUUAGGGGGUUUCCGCCCCUUAGUGCUGCAGCUAACGCAUUAAGCACUCCGCCUGGGGAGUACGGUCGCAAGACUGAAACUCAAAGGAAUUGACGGGGGCCCGCACAAGCGGUGGAGCAUGUGGUUUAAUUCGAAGCAACGCGAAGAACCUUACCAGGUCUUGACAUCCUCUGACAAUCCUAGAGAUAGGACGUCCCCUUCGGGGGCAGAGUGACAGGUGGUGCAUGGUUGUCGUCAGCUCGUGUCGUGAGAUGUUGGGUUAAGUCCCGCAACGAGCGCAACCCUUGAUCUUAGUUGCCAGCAUUCAGUUGGGCACUCUAAGGUGACUGCCGGUGACAAACCGGAGGAAGGUGGGGAUGACGUCAAAUCAUCAUGCCCCUUAUGACCUGGGCUACACACGUGCUACAAUGGGCAGAACAAAGGGCAGCGAAACCGCGAGGUUAAGCCAAUCCCACAAAUCUGUUCUCAGUUCGGAUCGCAGUCUGCAACUCGACUGCGUGAAGCUGGAAUCGCUAGUAAUCGCGGAUCAGCAUGCCGCGGUGAAUAUGUUCCCGGGCCUUGUACACACCGC